rnacentral:rRNA from 1 species
CCUACGGGUGGCAGCAGUGAGGAAUAUUGGUCAAUGGGCGUAAGCCUGAACCAGCCGAGUCGCGUGAGGGAUGAAGGUUCUAUGGAUCGUAAACCUCUUUUAUAAGGGAAUAAAGUGCGGGACGUGUCCAGUUUUGUAUGUACCAUAUGAAUAAGGAACGGCUAACUCCGUGCCAGCAGCCGAGGUAAUACGGAGGCUCCGAGCGUUAUCCGGAUUUAGUGGGGUUAAAGGGAGCGUAGGGGGAUUGUGAAGUCAGUUGUGAAAGUUUGCGGCUCAACCGUAAAAUUGCAGUGGAAACUGGUAGUCUUGAGUACAGUAGAGGUAGGCGGAAUUCGUGGUGUAGCGGUGAAAUGCUUAGAUAUCACGAAGAACUCCGAUUGCGAAGGCAGCUCGCUGGACUGCAACUGACGCUGAGGCUCGAAAGUGUGGGUAUCAAACAGGAUUAGAUACCCUGGUAGUC